UUUCCGUAGGUGAACCCGCGGAAGGAUCAUUAACGAGUUAGGGUCUUUUAGGCCCGACCUCCCAACCCUAUGUUUAUUGAACCUCUGUUGCUUCGGCGGACCCGUCUCACGGCCGCCGGAGGACCGCUGCGAGGCGUCCUCUGGCCAGCGUCCGCCGAUGGCCAACCCACUAAACUCUGAAUGAAUCGUGCCAUAUGUCUAAGUCUAUGAUUAAAUUAAAGCAAAACUUUCAACAACGGAUCUCUUGGUUCUG
rnacentral:misc_RNA from 1 species